AGUUUGAUCCUGGCUCAGGAUGAACGCUAGCUACAGGCUUAACACAUGCAAGUCGAGGGGAAACGACAUCGAAAGCUUGCUUUUGAUGGGCGUCGACCGGCGCACGGGUGAGUAACGCGUAUCCAACCUGCCCACCACUUGGGGAUAACCUUGCGAAAGUAAGACUAAUACCCAAUGACGUCUCUAGAAGACAUCUGAAAGAGAUUAAAGAUUUAUCGGUGAUGGAUGGGGAUGCGUCUGAUUAGCUUGUUGGCGGGGUAACGGCCCACCAAGGCUACGAUCAGUAGGGGUUCUGAGAGGAAGGUCCCCCACAUUGGAACUGAGACACGGUCCAAACUCCUACGGGAGGCAGCAGUGAGGAAUAUUGGUCAAUGGACGAGAGUCUGAACCAGCCAAGUAGCGUGCAGGAUGACGGCCCURUGGGUUGUAAACUGCUUUUAUAAGGGAAUAAAGUGAGUCUCGUGAGACUUUUUGCAUGUACCUUAUGAAUAAGGACCGGCUAAUUCCGUGCCAGCAGCCGCGGUAAUACGGAAGGUCCGGGCGUUAUCCGGAUUUAUUGGGUUUAAAGGGAGCGUAGGCCGGAGAUUAAGCGUGUUGUGAAAUGUAGACGCUCAACGUCUGCACUGCAGCGCGAACUGGUUUCCUUGAGUACGCACAAAGUGGGCGGAAUUCGUGGUGUAGCGGUGAAAUGCUUAGAUAUCACGAAGAACUCCGAUUGCGAAGGCAGCUCACUGGAGCGCAACUGACGCUGAAGCUCGAAAGUGCGGGUAUCGAACAGGAUUAGAUACCCUGGUAGUCCGCACGGUAAACGAUGGAUGCCCGCUGUUGGUCUGAAUAGGUCAGCGGCCAAGCGAAAGCAUUAAGCAUCCCACCUGGGGAGUACGCCGGCAACGGUGAAACUCAAAGGAAUUGACGG
rnacentral:rRNA from 1 species